UACGGAGGAUGCGAGCGUUAUCCGGAUUUAUUGGGUUUAAAGGGUGCGUAGGCGGAUUGAUAAGUUAGAGGUGAAAUGUCCGAGCUCAACUCGGGAACUGCCUCUAAUACUGUUGAUCUAGAGAGUAGAUGCGGUAGGCGGAAUGCGUGGUGUAGCGGUGAAAUGCAUAGAUAUCACGCAGAACGCCGAUUGCGAAGGCAGCUUACCGGCGCUCAACUGACGCUGAGGCACGAAAGUGCGGGUAUCGAACAGG
rnacentral:rRNA from 1 species